UACGGAGGGUGCAAGCAUUAAUCGGAUUUAUUGGGCGUAAAGGGCGCGUAGGCGGAAAUGAAAGUCAGAUGUGAAAUCCCGGGGCUCAACCCCGGAACAGCAUUUGAAACUCCAUUUCUAGAGGGUAGGCGGAGAAAACGGAAUUCCACAAGUAGCGGUGAAAUGCGUAGAUAUGUGGAAGAACACCGGUGGCGAAGGCGGUUUUCUAGCUUAUUCCUGACGCUGAGGCGCGAAAGCAAGGGGAUCAAACAGG
rnacentral:rRNA from 1 species